UUAAUUGAAGCCAAAUAGAGGCAUAUUAAUGUUAAUAAUAUCAAUGAACUUAUAUUCCAAUUAAG
rnacentral:tRNA from 1 species